UCAAACUCGAAGCCAGGGUUCCACACCAGUGAUCCAUAGCCAAAAACCCACAACACCAUUUUCUCAGAGUUUCCUAAAUCGGCCCCGACGAGCUGAAUCGGGAACUGUGAGUCCGGCGAGCUGCGAUUCCUCGGCGCCGGCGAUGGAUCAGGAGAGAGGAGGCGGAAAAAUGAGGAGGAAGGGUUGAAGGAAACCCUAGAUCUCCCAAAAUCGCCCCUCUUCUCUCUCUCGCUCUCUUUGUCGGGUUCAG
rnacentral:misc_RNA from 1 species